UGAACGCUGGCGGCAGGCCUAACACAUGCAAGUCGCACGGUAACAGGAAGAAGCUUGCUUCUUUGCUGACGAGUGGCGGACGGGUGAGUAAUGUCUGGGAAACUGCCUGAUGGAGGGGGAUAACUACUGGAAACGGUAGCUAAUACCGCAUAACGUCGCAAGACCAAAGAGGGGGACCUUCGGGCCUCUUGCCAUCGGAUGUGCCCAGAUGGGAUUAGCUUGUUGGUGGGGUAACGGCUCACCAAGGCGACGAUCCCUAGCUGGUCUGAGAGGAUGACCAGCCACACUGGAACUGAGACACGGUCCAGACUCCUACGGGAGGCAGCAGUGGGGAAUAUUGCACAAUGGGCGCAAGCCUGAUGCAGCCAUGCCGCGUGUAUGAAGAAGGCCUUCGGGUUGUAAAGUACUUUCAGCGGGGAGGAAGGGAGUAAAGUUAAUACCUUUGCUCAUUGACGUUACCCGCAGAAGAAGCACCGGCUAACUCCGUG
rnacentral:rRNA from 1 species